UUGCUGUGAUGACAGUCUUGGCACACCUUUGGAACACCCGUGACAAACGUGAUGGUUCUUUCUGAGCAAC